GAUACGCGCGUUCCCGGGAAUGUCGCACGUGUUCCUGGGAAUGCCGCGCUUGUUCCCGGGAGUACCACGGCCCCGUCCCCGCUGACCGGUAUCCAGCCACUGCCGCGCCCCCAGCUGCUGCUCCGACCGGGAACAGGCCGAAACGCUUCGAGAGGAAUCCCCCACGCUGCGCGGAGAGCGUGAGGGCUCAGUGCUGCCGUGUGGCUGUGACUGCGCACUGCCCUCCUUUGGGGAGUCCCCAGGGAGAAACAGUUCCACAGAAUCACUGACAGCGUCAGGCUGGCACGGAGCACAGCGGGGACACCUGGACUUCAGGGGACAAUAACUGCACAGAACUUAGAAGCUUCCUCAUUAUGCAACUAAAAGAUUGUGUACAUGGUCUUUACGUGUUUUCUUCGCAUUUUUAUUUUAAAACAGAGACUUUUAGAACAGUUUAUUCUUAUAUUCAGGACAACCAAAUUGUUCCAUGAGCAGCAGCAGUAACGAUGCCUGGUUUCUCACAGCUCUCGACUCCACAGCACAGCCCCUCAGCUUUCCCAGGACUAUCACUCUGCAUUAGUUCUGGCACAUCUGUGACAGACCUGCACAUCCAUCGCCUGCGGCAGCUCCCAGUGGAAACCCCCCAUGAAGGCAUGGCAGGAUACCCCGAGGGCAACCAGAUCUAAGCUUCUGGAUGGAAUCCAGUCUACAGGGAUAACUCAGCUUCUCCAAAAUUAUGGUUAGGUUACAACUGUACUAUUGCUAAAGAGUCCUCAGAGACUCAUCCUGGGGUACAGGGAGGACUCUCUAAAUUAAGGAAGUUGAAGUAACCACUGGAGGAGCUACUACCAUUGCAUGAGACUGCUUGACCAGGCCUUCACUACAGUGGCUCAGCAGCAGGCAUUUGGUGGUACCCAUAUCCAUAGCAUACCUUUAAGAAAGGUAUUUUUUAGUAUGCUCUCAUCCUGAAAGAUCUCCAUUUACUUACCUGUCUCCAAAACAAAGAGACCAUGCAGCUGAAAAGUCUCCAGAGAGGAUACUGUUCCCAGUGAAGCUGCACAUAUGUCUCUAAUCAGUCCACCUGCUAAGUACACUGUUCCCUGCUUGUUGAGAAAGGUCUGGUUGGACACAGGGAGCUCUGUGCUUAUACACAUGCAAAACAAAGCACAGCCCAUCUUCAAGGUGAAAAAAAGAGAUGAACUUAUGGACAUCUGCAGCAAGGACACAGAAAGCACUAAGUAAGGGCAAAGCAAAGUCAGAAAGCUUUUUAAAACAAAGAAUCGUAAGGAUAGUCUAGCUUUCAAUUACCAACACUGCUCUUUCAAACAAAAACACAUCAAUAAAACUAGUGGGAAGAAGAUG